CUAACAUGUAAACUCACUGAGCAGGGCCCUCAAUCCCUCUGUUACUGUGUCACUAUACCCCACUCCCUCUAACAUGUAAACUCACUGAGCAGGACCCUCAAUCCCUCUGUUACUGUGUCACUAUACCCCACUCCCUCUAACAUGUAAACUCACUGAGCAGGUCCUCAAUCCCUCUGUUACUGUCACUAUACCCCACUCCCUCUAACAUGUAAACUCACUGAGCAGGGCCCUCAAUCCCUCUGUUACUGUGUCACUAUACCCCACUCCCUCUAACAUGUAAACUCACUGAGAAGGGCCCUCAAUCCCUCUGUUACUGUGUCACUAUACCCCACUCCCUCUAACAUGUAAACUCACUGAGCAGGCCCUCAAUCCCUCUGUUACUGUGUCACUAUACCCCACUCCCUCUAGCAUGUAAACUCACUGAGCAGGGCCCUCAAUCCCUCUGUUACUGUGUCACUAUACCCCACUCCCUCUAACAUGUAAACUCACUGAGCAGGGCCCUCAAUCCCUCUGUUACUGUCACUAUACCCCACUCCCUCUAACAUGUAAACUCACUGAGCAGGCCCUCAAUCCCUCUGUUACUGUGUCACUAUACCCCACUCCCUCUAGCAUGUAAACUCACUGAGCAGGGUCUCAAUCCCUCUGUUACUGUGUCACUAUACCCCACUCCCUCUAACAUGUAAACUCACUGAGCAGGACCCUCAAUCCCUCUGUUACUGUGUCACUAUACCCCACUCCCUCUAACAUGUAAACUCACUGAGCAGGGCCCUCAAUCCCUCUGUUACUGUGUCACUAUACCCCACUCCC